rnacentral:rRNA from 1 species
GACGGAGGAUGCAAGUGUUAUCCGGAAUCACUGGGCGUAAAGCGUCUGUAGGUGGUUUAAUAAGUCAACUGUUAAAUCUUGAGGCUCAACCUCAAAAUCGCAGUCGAAACUAUUAGGCUAGAGUAUAGUAGGGGUAAAGGGAAUUUCCAGUGGAGCGGUGAAAUGCGUAGAGAUUGGAAAGAACACCGAUGGCGAAGGCACUUUACUGGGCUAUUACUAACACUCAGAGACGAAAGCCAGGGGAGCGAACGGG